CUGUGUCUUGCCUCAAUAGUGUUUGGACAGAACAG
rfam:Cricetulus griseus cell line CHO-K1, whole genome shotgun sequence.